CCGCUAACCGAUAAGAGCGACGGCAUCGCGUCUUCCUAGCAGAGACGCUGCUCUCAGAGCGAAACACUUGGCAUUCGGCGUUGAAGACGGCAGCAGAGAGGAAAAGCUCGAAGAGAGAAACACGAAAGGAAGAGCGAAGAACAACGACUGGAAACGAUGGCUGCGGGUAAAAGUUUACAAGACCGUUUGAGUGGUGGGGAGAAAGUAUUUGCUGCGGAGGGUUACAUGUUCGAGUUCAACAGACGUGGAUAUCUGAAAUCUGGUGCAAUGGUACCGGAAGUGGUCAUAGAACACCCAGAUCUUGUUAAAAAUAUGCACGAAGAAUUCGUCCAUGCAGGAAGUGACGUCGUUCUGGCUUUCACUUAUUAUGGUAACCGUCACAAGAUGAGCGUAGUCGGACGUGAGGACGAAGUGGAACAGUUGAACAGAAAAGCUCUGAGAAUGGCACGCGAAGUGGCUGAUAACACAGGGACUUUAAUGGCGGGGAACUUAAGCAACACCACUGUUUUCGACCCCAGUGACAAGGAUGCUGUAGAUACAACCAACGCUAUGUUUAAGGAGCAAGUGAUAUGGGCCAAAGAAGAAAAAGCCGAUUUCAUUUUAGGAGAAACUUUCUAUUCACUCACAGAAGCCAUGUUGAGUUUGGAAGCCAUUAAAGCUUACGGUGGAGGUUUACCUGCAGUAGUAAACAUCGCCCCUACUACGAAGGACCACACGGUGGAUGAUGUCCCCUUAGAGGAAGCUUGCAGGAAGCUUGAAGAAGCUGGGGCUGCAGUUGUAGGUCUCAACUGUAGCAUGGGACCAAAGGCGAUGGUUCCUCUCCUGAAAAGGGUCAGACAAGCUUGUAAGGGCCCAAUAUCAGCUUUGCCUGUCACCUAUCGCAGUGAUGAGAAAAUGGUAACAUUUCAAUCGUUCAAGGAUCCAUGUACAGGCGAGGCUGCUUUCCCGAGCAACUUGUUCCAGUUCCACUGCAGUAAGAAUGAAAUUGAAUUCUUUGGCAAUGCCUGUAAAGAGAUUGGAGUCCAGUAUAUCGGUCUUUGCUGCGGAAAUACGUCUGAUUACUUCCGCCUUCUGUGUGAGACUUGUGGAAAAACAACCAAGGCCAGCCGCUAUACAACAGAUAUGUCGAAUCAUUAUCUUAACACCGACAAGGGUCUUAGCGAAUACAAUGCAAAAGUGAGGAAAGCACUCCUUGGUAUGUAAAGCUACCAACGAUCGUAUCGCUCGAAGAACUUCGUUCUUUGUGUUUAUAACAACAACCAGAUGUGACAUUGGUAUUUUCUUGAAUCCGGCUGAAUAUAAACAUAAGUUGCAAUGAUCCAUAAAGAAAAUUCACUUGUUAAGGAUAUCCUGACAGAUUUUCUUUAAAAAUUAUAGCCAAUACAGAUUUUGUCCUAACAAAUAAAGUGCUGGCUAUAAUUUCUCCAGAAAAUCUGUAGAGAUGAUCUUAAGAAGUGAUUUAAUUGCAAUGCUAACACAGAAGAACACGAUAUUGACUUAUAAAAAUCAUUUCAUAUAAUUUGUACUACACUAUGGUUGCAUAAUGUAAUACAGUGUCCAUGCAGAUCAUUAAGAGGAAAUUUCAUUUAUAUAUACAUACACAACAGAAAAGUAUACGCACACACAUACAGACACGCUUUUUGUUCGGCUUACAUAAAUAUAUAGAGAGAGUUAUAUAAGAAGUGUCGAAAUGUUUGUGCAUUACAUAAUAAUCAUACAAAGCUCUCUCCCCCCCCCCUGCGAUUCUUUCAAAACUUUACAGUCGAGUGAAUAAACAUAUAUAUAUAUAUACAUAUAUAUAUAUAUAAUAUAUAUGUAUAUAUAU